ACAGUGCAGCCUCCAGCCAGAAGGAUGGGGUGGCUCCCACUCCUGCUGCUUCUGACUCAAUGCUUAGGGGCCCCUGGGCAGCGCUCGCCAUUGAAUGACUUCCAGGUGCUCCGGGGCACAGAGCUACAGCACCUGCUACAUGCGGUGGUGCCCGGGCCUUGGCAGGAGGAUGUGGCAGAUGCUGAAGAGUGUGCUGGUCGCUGUGGGCCCUUAAUGGACUGCCGGGCCUUCCACUACAACGUGAGCAGCCAUGGUUGCCAACUGCUGCCAUGGACUCAACACUCGCCCCACACGAGGCUGCGGCGUUCUGGGCGCUGUGACCUCUUCCAGAAGAAAGGUACACGCCCACGCUCCGGAAUGGCCUGGAAGAGAACUUCUGCCGUAACCCUGAUGGCGACCCCGGAGGUCCUUGGUGCUACACAACAGACCCUGCCGUGCGCUUCCAGAGCUGCGGCAUCAAAUCCUGCCGGGAGGCCGCGUGUGUCUGGUGCAAUGGCGAGGAAUACCGCGGCGCGGUAGACCGCACGGAGUCAGGGCGCGAGUGCCAGCGCUGGGAUCUUCAGCACCCGCACCAGCACCCCUUCGAGCCGGGUUCCUCGACCAAGGUCUGGACGACAACUAUUGCCGGAAUCCUGACGGCUCCGAGCGGCCAUGGUGCUACACUACGGAUCCGCAGAUCGAGCGAGAGUUCUGUGACCUCCCCCGCUGCGGGUCCGAGGCACAGCCCCGCCAAGAGGCCACAACUGUCAGCUGCUUCCGCGGGAAGGGUGAGGGCUACCGGGGCACAGCCAAUACCACCACCGCGGGCGUACCUUGCCAGCGUUGGGACGCGCAAAUCCCGCAUCAGCACCGAUUUACGCCAGAAAAAUACGCGUGCAAGUGAGGUGGGGGGGGCGGGCGUUGGGACGUGCUGCUGCGGGUGAGACGGGAGGAGGGUAGUCACGGGCUCAGGGCUGGAGGCUGGCGGGCUAGGGCUGAGUGGAGCGCCUGCUUAGAGACCUUCGGGAGAACUUCUGCCGGAACCCCGACGGCUCAGAGGCGCCCUGGUGCUUCACACUGCGGCCCGGCAUGCGCGUGGCCUUUUGCUACCAGAUCCGGCGUUGUACAGACGACGUGCGGCCCCAGGGUGAGGCCCAAGCUUGGGGGAUACAGAGCCGGGGCUGGAAGCCUGGAACCGGAGGGCCGGGGCGAGGUCUCGGCCUGAUGGCUGCCCGCACCCGCCACAGACUGCUACCACGGCGCAGGGGAGCAGUACCGCGGCACGGUCAGCAAGACCCGCAAGGGUGUCCAGUGCCAGCGCUGGU
rnacentral:sRNA from 1 species